AUAAUGAAGAGUUUGAUCCUGGCUCAGGAUGAACGCUAGCGGCAGGCUUAACACAUGCAAGUCGAGGGGCAUCACGGUUCAGCAAUGGACUGGUGGCGACCGGCGCACGGGUGAGUAACACGUAUGCAACCUGCCUCAGACAGGGGAAUAAUUCGGAGAAAUUCGGACUAAUACCGCAUAAAACAGGGAUACCGCAUGGUAAUAUUGUUAAAGAAGAGAUUUGGUUUGAGAUGGGCAUGCGUUUCAUUAGUUAGUUGGUAAGGUAACGGCUUACCAAGGCGACGAUGAAUAGGGGUUCUGAGAGGAAGGUCCCCCACACUGGUACUGAGACACGGACCAGACUCCUACGGGAGGCAGCAGUGAGGAAUAUUGGUCAAUGGGCGCGAGCCUGAACCAGCCAUGCCGCGUGCAGGAAUACAGCCCUAUGGGUUUUAAACUGCUUUUGUACGAGAGUAAAAGAUAGCAUUUAUGCUAUAUUGCAAGUAUUGUACGAAUAAGGAUCGGCUAACUCCGUGCCAGCAGCCGCGGUAAUACGGAGGAUUCGAGCGUUAUCCGGAUUCAUUGGGUUUAAAGGGUGCGUAGGUUGCAGAUUAAGUCAGCGGUGAAAAGGAGAUGCUUAACAUUUCCCGUGCCGUUGAAACUGAUUAGCUAGAAUAUUGGUGAAGUAUGCGGAAUGCGCAGUGUAGCGGUGAAAUGCAUAGAUAUUG
rnacentral:rRNA from 1 species